CAGCAUUUCCAAUUCUCAUAGACUUUGGUCCUAAACUCGCUUCUUCAAAAGAAAGAUCCACUGAAAUCGAUGGGAUUUACUUCCAGCCUGGAGCUUCUUGAGUCAUAAGCAGCAGCAACAGCAAUGCAGCAAUAUUUUUCAGGAAACUUGGAGAACUCAAACUGAAGCUGCUCCCAUGGUGAAACAUGCUUUCAGACACAUCUCUCCCACCCACCCACCUCAGCAUCUUUUAAGUUGAACAAUCAACACUUACUCCUCAGAUCACUACACAUCUCCUUGACCUCUGGUGUAUUACAGUGGGAACAUUGGUGUUUUAUUUUCACAUGAUAAACUGUUCUUCCACAGUUUUUCCCGUGUAAUAAGGAUGAAACAGGCGUUUCAUUAACAUAAGACAGUCAGCUUCCCCUUCCCCGCUUCAUAUAAGGACUCUUUUUUUAUGGUAAUAAUAAUUUCACACAUUUUUAUCACGCCUCUCAUCCCAAAGGAUCCCGAAUCAUUUUGCAAGCUAUUUACAGGAAUCACUUUAUCCACCAGUGAAAUGAGACCAACUCUGCGGGACAACAUGCAAUCUGUUUAGCGGCAGCACAACAGUGCUACACAGGAAGCGAAGAUUGUUCUGUCCAGUUGGAGAACAGAAAAGAAGAUCUCAGGCUAAUACAAUGGCAUUAUUUAGACU